AUACGGAGGGUCCAAGCGUUAUCCGGAAUCAUUGGGUUUAAAGGGUCCGCAGGCGGUCAAUUAAGUCAGAGGUGAAAGCCCAUCGCUCAACGAUGGAACUGCCUUUGAUACUGGUUGACUUGAGUUAUACGGAAGUAGAUAGAAUAAGUAGUGUAGCGGUGAAACGCAUAGAUAUUACUUAGAAUACCGAUUGCGAAGGCAGUCUACUACGUAUAUACUGACGCUGAGGGACGAAAGCGUGGGGAGCGAACAGGAUUAGAUACCCUUGUAGUCC
rnacentral:rRNA from 1 species